rnacentral:tRNA from 1 species
GAGGGUGUAGCUCAGUGGUUGAGCAGGUGCCUUAAGAUGCAGAGAAGUCCUGGGUUCAAUCCCCAGUACUUCCA